GUGUAUUCUCAGGGCAGGGUGCAAUUCCCUACCGGUGGUCACAGCCCACGAGCGGCCUGCGGUGCAGGUGACAGCAGACCCGGCGCAAUUCCGGGGCCGACGGUUAAAGUCCGGAUGGAAGAGAAUGGGU
rnacentral:ncRNA from 2 species